GGGGCGAAUGGGUUCUGGUUUAAGGGAUCUUGGGAGAAAGGUAACGGCACUUAUUCUUUCCUUGCUUUUCUCCAGAAAGGGAUUUCUAGACUUGGGCAUGGAGAGAAAAGGCAUGGGGCAGAGAAAGUCUCCUUCAGGCGGCUAAUUUUGGACCUGGCCUCUGGAACCUGGUCUUAGCCUGGACUAAGAGGCCUUCACCUUUUUUUCUGCUCCAUGUCAGCAGCCUCUAGCCCCCACCCAAAGGCUGUCAGCGCCUCUGAUCUCACUCUCAGCCCUGCCUUUGACCCUCACCCCGGUGGAAGCCCCAGGAGCCAAAGGGAGCCAAAAGACAGGGAUAAAGCCGAAGGGGAGAGAAAUAUAUAGUUUUUUUCUCCACUGUCUCCCCCAUAUACAAGAAAGAAAAUAAAAGUAAUUACUGUUGACAAUGGGGAGGAAGAACUGCCCAUAAAUGAAGAAGUUGGGAGGAUGGGAAGGGAGAGUAAGAAGAGAGUAUCCCUUUUGCUUGCCUCCCCCUGCCCCCAGCCUAGAGUGGAAACGGAGGCUUGAAGCCCCCAGGGUGGUUAGGUGUACCUCCUCGAUCAAAUGAUCAGACUUUGAGCUGUCUGAACUGAGAUGAUCAAGGUCUUCUGAUCCCUGCAAAGAUGGCUCCCGGAUUGGAGGGGGGCGGGGAUGGGGAAAUCUCUUCCAGGGAAAACUGGCCCGGCUCUAUGACCCUUCUAAUGUCUGCUCCUCAGAGAGCCUCUCAAUCCCAGCGAGCAACGAAAAUGGGUCCCAAUGCCCAGAAAUUCCAGGCCGUUGGUUCUUUUUGGUUUUAUUCUCGAAAGGGAAAGGCCCGAUGGGGGCAGGGGAACAGCAAGUGUCGAAGAGGCCGGAAUUUCGGACGAGCGGGGUGACAGAAGGGGAAAUUCCCGGAGCUUGGGCUCGGUCCUCUGGCUCCCCCUUGAAGAAGGUGACCCCGCAAAGCAGAAUUUCUUGUCUUCUCUGAGAUAGGAGGCCCCGAAGCUAACCCAAGAAAAGACAAGUUCCAUUUCUAACCAGCUUUUCUAUUGUUAAUAAGUUUAACCCCCCCAGUCCUCAGCGUAUUCAAAGUCCCCGUGUUCUGGGAAGCUUAGCCCAGACCCUUCACCGGAGGACAGAUUUGGAAUAGGCUAAUGGAGCAAGACAGGGAGAGGGCUAAGGGCUAAUCCAACUGGGGGCUCCCUGACCCCAACGGGGCCAGGCCAAGCAAGCCAGUAGAGGAGGAAGUAAGAGCGGCAAGUCAGAAUAGAGACCCAGGCCCCAGAUCUUCCGGGCCACUUGUCUGAUUUCUCUUUCGGGAGCAGGAAAAAAAAGAAGGGCAGUCAUAUAUCCAGGGAAGUGGGCAUCCUGCAGCUCUGGGGCUCUGUCCUUCAACUUUGUCUGUAAAGGUCAAGAUGGUUGAGAGAGCUAAGAUUCUUCCAUGGACGAUUAUCUGCAUAAGUGCAAAUGGGUGUGUGGCUAAUUUUUGGGGGACGGUAAGAAAUCUUGUGGGAUUGAUGAGCUUACACUCUUUAGAUUUGUGAUCUUCGACAGCAGUCUGGGGGCUUUCCAGGGAAGCAGUGCAAAGGAUCCCAGGUAUCCUGGAAUUUGGGGAAAAUUCUUACUAGAAUGGAUUUUGAGAUGCUAGUUGAGCACAGGCAAGACUGGAUUUUAGUUUAGUCUGGUUGGGGACAGCUUCUCUGCAUGCAGAAGGGAAAGAGUCUCCUCGGAGGUGUCCCCUGAGACCUGGGGGUAGUGGGGGGAGAGACCUCCAGUCUUGUUAUCAGCUCACUUUUAAGCAAAGAAGGAGACAGGUGACGGUAGCUGGUGAAAAGGAAGCUGGGGAGAAAAUUUUGGACGCAGGUGGGGCAAACACCCCACGUGUUUUCCAUCCUCCACAAUACCAAAAUUCAUUGUGGUGCCCCCUUCCCUUCCCCCCCCGUUCUGGGCGACUUGGGUGGGAGUGAGGAAGUAGAGUGAAAAACGGGUGAAGAGUUGUAGUUUUUCCGACACCAAAAAAGCUUAAUUGUGGUUUUCAAAGAGUCCUUGAGAUUCAGGAGCCCACCCGGCUGGCUGGAGACCACCGGUAUCCCCGCAGGAUUCCCCUAACUUUCCUGGUCUCUUUUCCCCUAUUUCUGCUCCCUCUCCUCCUUCUCUUGGAGAACAGCCCCCAACGAAUCUUUAUAUCUGUGGUGGCCGCAAAAACCUGCCGUAGGAAGAAAAAAACCCCCAAAAAACAACCCGGAUAGGUUUCGUUGACCUGCUUAAUGCAAACUAAAACCAGUUUUCGAUUGGCGAGUUCCAGAGGACGAGGGCUUCAGCCGGGCCCCAGCACCUUCCCGAAAGAUAAUUGGCCCACCUGCUAUGGGACCUGGAGACCUCCUGCUUACCGCGGUCUACAAGAGCUUUGUAACAGUAAUUUCUGCCCAAAGGAGACUUAAAACAAAAAACAAAAAACAAAAAUCCAAAACGAGUAAAAACUAAAAUGAGCAUUUCUGGCAGAACCCAGUCUGGCUCUGCCCGACAUCAGCUGCCCGAGGAUCUGAAGAUUUGGCUUUUAAGGGUAAUCACCAGUAAGUAACUGGUAAAGCUCUUUGCUGCGUCUCCUCGCGAUGCAAAGUGGUCCCAGUAGCCGGAAGGGAAGGGAAGGAGAGGACAGGACAGGACAGAAAAGAAAUAGGAGUCAGCUUCUCUUCUUUCUCAGAGUGGGGGUCAAGGGGAGGGGGUGAACAGCCUGGUCGAAUCUUGGCGAGACGGCCUUGAGCUUCAGCAGCUUUGCCCUUUUAAUUAGCGCCAACUACCUUCUAUCCGCAGCCCUCGGGCUCCGGUGCUCUUCCCCCUCACCCCGGACUUUUUAGAUGUACCAACUCCAUCCCGGGGCCAGGGUUGGGGUCUUCAAGCCUCGAAGAUCCCAAGACCCAGAGGGACAGAGAAAGGAGCCGUGGUCCCGGCGGGCGGGACCUUCUUGGCCACGCACCGAGGUAACAAGGUUGUAUAAAUCGUUGCUUACCCUCCCACCUCCCUCCUUUUGCAUGUCUUUAAGAGUCACUGGAACCUGAGUGGAGAGGUUUGGCAAUUGCCAUCUUUAUAGAGACCGAGGUGGAAGUGGUGGUGGUGAAGGUGGGGGAUCAGAGACAUUUCUGCCUUCCAAGGAUUUAGGGGCUUCGCGCUGGAUUGGGAACUCCGAAACCAAAAAGAAGGGAAAGGAUGACCCAGCUGAUUUUAGACCCGGGGAAGAGCUGUGCUAAUUCACUCGCUGGACUUCACCUGCAGUCUGUGCAAGGAGAGAUCGGAGUGAGAUCCGUCUUACUCAGUCUACACUCGGACAAAGGCGUCUCGGAUGGCGCCUGCUGCCCUCACUAGAUUUUCCGGUUCCCCUCGGGCUGCCUCAGAACGUGGUGUGGGGACGGGGGCAGGUGUGAGCCAGAGGGACAUCGCGCUCUCCCAGGUAGCUCUCCGGGCCGAAGCUGUUGGCCGGCACGUGGCAGGAGCUUUCUUCUGGGAGUCGAGCCGAGUGCAGGCUCCUUCUGCGACUCCCUGGGUCAGCCCCUGGCCAAAGGCCGCCACUCUAAAGCCUGUCAGACGGCUCCAAGUUCGGGGACCAGCCAGCCAGUGUGCAGAGGAACUCGCGGGUCCCAGGAGCCUGGCGGGCUCUAUCUCCCAUGGGGGGUAGGAAUGAGCACCGUUGCUUUUGACAUUCACUCUCCUGGUGGGGAUUGUAAAGCUCAGACGCUCCUCCCCUCCCCCCAAGACUGGACGCCCCGUCGGGGCUUCGCAGGGCCGGAUUUCUCUUGGCCCAGUGCAAAUUGUAUCGAGCUGACAAACUGACUAGUCACGAACGGAAUUUAGGGAGAUGAAAACGGAAAGUUGGACCCCUUAUCCCACUUGAGACUUGAUAAUGAUGGUGAUGAUGAUGAUGAUGAUGAUGAUGUUAAGCUCUGCCAGCCUGGCUGGUUAGAAUGAGCCAGCAGCUGAGGGAAGCAAUAAAGGGAGAGGAAAUUUCUGCUCUGCA